CCUACGGGUGGCAGCAGUGGGGAAUAUUGCACAAUGGGGGAAACCCUGAUGCAGCGACGCCGCGUGAAUGAAGAAGUAUUUCGGUAUGUAAACUUCUAUCAGCAGGGAAGAAAAUGACGGUACCUGACUACGAAGCACCGGCUAACUACGUGCCAGCAGCCGCGGUAAUACGGAGGGGGCAAGCGUUAUCCGGAUUUACUGGGUGUAAAGGGAGCGUAGGCGGUGCAGCAAGUCAGAAGUGAAAGGCGGGGGUUUAACCCCCGGACUGCUCUGGAAACUGGACGGCUGGAGUGCAGGAGAGGGAAGUGGAAUUCCUAGUGUAGCGGUGAAAUGCGUAGAGAUUAGGAGGAACACCAGUGGCGAAGGCGGCUUACUGGACAAUGACUGACGUUGAGGUUCGAAAGCGUGGGGAGCAAACAGGAUUAGAUACCCUGGUAGUC
rnacentral:rRNA from 1 species